rnacentral:rRNA from 1 species
CCUACGUGUGGCUGCAGUGAGGAAUAUUGGUCAAUGGGCUUACGCCUGAACCAGCCAAGUCGCGUGAGGGAAGACUGCCCUAUGGGUUGUAAACCUCUUUUGUCAGGGAGCAACGCCGGCUACGUGUAGCCGGACUGAGAGUACCUGAAGAAAAAGCAUCGGCUAACUCCGUGCCAGAAGCCGCGGUAAUACGGAGGAUGCGAGCGUUAUCCGGAUUUAUUGGGUUUAAAGGGUGCGUAGGCGGAAUGCCAAGUCAGCGGUAAAAUCGCGGGGCUCAACCUCGCUCCGCCGUUGAAACUGGCGUUCUUGAGUUGGAGAGAAGUAUGCGGAAUUCGUGGUGUAGCGGUGAAAUGCAUAGAUAUCACGAAGAACUCCGAUUGCGAAGGCAGCAUACCGGCUCCAUACUGACGCUGAGGCACGAAAGCGUGGGGAUCGAACAGGAUUAGAUACCCCUGUAGUC